UCCGGCUUAUCACCGGCAGUUUCCCCAGAGUGCCCAGCUUAACCUGAUGGCAACAGGGGACGAGGGUUGCGCUCGUUGCGGGACUUAACCCAACAUCUCACGACACGAGCUGACGACAGCCAUGCAGCACCUGUGCUCCUCCCAGCCGAACUGAAGACCCCUUUUCGGGGGUCGGAAGAGGGCAUGUCGAAUCCUGGUAAGGUUCUUCGCGUUGCCUCGAAUUAAACCACAUGUUCCACCGCUUGUGCGGGUCCCCGUCAAUUUCUUUGAGUUUUAAUCUUGCGACCGUACUCCCCAGGCGGGAUGCUUAACGCGUUAGCUACGCCACGGAAAGGUAACCCUCCCACGGCUAGCAUCCAUCGUUUACAGCACGGACUAC
rnacentral:misc_RNA from 1 species